rnacentral:rRNA from 1 species
GAUGAACGCUGGCGGCGUGCCUAAUACAUGCAAGUCGAGCGAACGGACGAGAAGCUUGCUUCUCUGAUGUUAGCGGCGGAAGGGUGAGUAACACGUGGAUAACCUACCUAUAAGACUGGGAUAACUUCGGGAAACCGGAGCUAAUACCGGAUAAUAUUUUGAACCGCAUGGUUCAAAAGUGAAAGACGGUCUUGCUGUCACUUAUAGAUGGAUCCGCGCUGCAUUAGCUAGUUGGUAAGGUAACGGCUUACCAAGGCAACGAUGCAUAGCCGACCUGAGAGGGUGAUCGGCCACACUGGAACUGAGACACGGUCCAGACUCCUACGGGAGGCAGCAGUAGGGAAUCUUCCGCAGUGGGCGAAAGCCUGACGGAGCAACGCCGCGUGAGUGAUGAAGGUCUUCGGAUCGUAAAACUCUGUUAUUAGGGAAGAACAUAUGUGUAAGUAACUGUGCACAUCUUGACGGUACCUACUCAGAAAGCCACGGCUAACUACGUG